rnacentral:lncRNA from 1 species
UUAAAUGAAGGCUGGCCUAUAAACGCAAAUAAUCAAAUCGAUCAUGAUACCAACAUUUUCAAAGAAGUAUAAUCAUUACCCAAUUGAAAUGGUAUUCUCUGAUGAUGUCAACCCCUCCCCAACAACCUCAAACAAUAUAGGUGACACCUCUGACGUGGGCACGUAUCAUCAACCAAUAAGAUGAGAGUAAUGAUUACCUAGUACCAUGUCAUCAUGAUCUAAGCCACAGAUUGUGUCCUAAACGAAAUUAUGACCUAAACGGUUGACCUCUACAGCCAACCAUACCUUUUCAAAUAAGACGAUGGCACAAAAAUCAAGCUUUGAUAACGUAGCAUGACAUGACUAGUAGAAUGUUGUUGUUAUGGCUAUAAACAUGGACAAUCGGUC